GGAAGGGCUGCCUUUUAAUGAGCUCCUACCAUCUUUGGAGGAAAACUCAUUAGAGUUAGCCUGAGGUGAGCAUCACCACCUGCCCCCCAAGCAUACAUUACCUCAUGGAGUAUUGCCAAGAGCUCAUAAGUUUUGUUUGUUCCCAUUGCCCCUAAAUGCCUUCAAUACCUAACACAGCAUUUGCUUGGUAGUCACUCAGUAUUUGUAGAAUAAAGUUUAUAUUUACAGAAAAGGACUCUGAGGCUCAAGGAUAUAAGGUAGCUUUUGCUGAUGAAAAUAGGACUCUGAUAUAGCUAGGAGAUGAAUGUUUUCCUGGCAGCCAGUUGACAGCCUGACUGUAUCCAAGGAAACUGUCUUGCCUCCUCUUCAUUCAGGUACAGCAGAGUCUAGGCCCAGGCCUGGAGUAGUCCUGGGCUGGGCAGCAGUGCACAGAGGCAGUGCUUAGCACACAGCUCCAAGGUAGUGCACUGCACAGCUAAAGAGCCUGAUGGUACAUAUCCUGCCCUGAGACCUGAACCCUGCAAGGGCCACACCCAGAGUCCAGGCAGAAGCUGACACUUCCCAGUUUACCCAAGCCUGGAGGUAUGUUUGUCUAGCUAGGAGCCCAUUAGCUGACCUGACACUUGGCCCCAGAGCCCCAUAGAAGAGAAACCCGAGAAUUUCAAACUGCAGGCAUCUGUUUGUCCAGGUCAGAGCCUGGGCAGGAUGCCAAUGCUACAGGGUCAGCCUCAGCUUUCAAGUUUCAGGUUAAAGCCCAAGUGGGCAGAGCUCCUCACAGGUCACCUGAUUACCUGUACAACCUUGGGACAUUUCUCUUUACUGUGAACUGUAACUUGAGCAUUGUGCAGGCCCUACUGGGAGGGUUCUAUCUGUUCUGCCCUAAAUAUCUUCUCUUCACUGUGUAUUUGUCUUUCCUGAUGAGGAGGCCCUAUGGAACUGUCCUUAGGAUAAUUCCAUCUUUCUUCACUUGCUAUUAUGCUUCAGGUUCUUUAGUGAAGAGUUUUGUUCCUGUGUCACAAAAGUGAAUCAUUUCAAAAGCUGAAAAAAGAAACGUAUGACACACUCAAGCUCUUAAGAAAAUUACUCAGUAUUAACCCUGAUCAACACUUCCCACUCACUCAGCGGGAGUUGGAAGGCACCCUAGGGAAUAUCUAAACCCACCUGCUAGCUGGGCUCAGGACUGGGACCCUGGCAUGCUAACGAAAAGGCAGAUCACACAGGAAAUGGCAGGAUCACAGGGGCUGGUGCUGAAGCCCAGCCCAUUUUUUCUCCUUCUAUGAGACUGUCUCUAGAGUCUUGCCAUGGACACUGACAGAUUCCCUGAGUCACAGCUCACCCUGCAAAGUGUGUGACUUUUCUCCAGGUCCUUCUAGUCAUUGGCUCAGUUGGGGCCUUCUCAGAUUAUCGGACACAACACCAUUUGGCUCAUUUCCAGCCUUGUAAGAAAAGCCUCUGUGGACACUUUCCUGUAAGCUUAGAGAAUUUACAUUCGCCACCAAGAAGAAAAAAGAAAAAAAAGAAAAGAAAAGAAAAACUAAGAAGGGCCAAUUUCUUUCAUCUUCUAGAAAAAAAAAAAAGAUGUGAUUAUACAAAGUCCCAGCAAAGUCACUUCCCUCUAUCAGCAAAGCUCAGUAGAGGGGCAAGGAGACCCGCUCAGCGCUGCAGAACCCCUGCAGCAUAGAGUCUUAGAGGCAGAUGAGCCAGGUGACUUAAGGUGGCCUGACAUGCCUCGUUCCUGGAAGAGCCAGCGUUGUGAAGAACUGGGGAAAAUGCCACAUGAGCCAGUGCUACGAGCAAUGAGGUGUGAGGACAUGGACUAGGCGUCCUCCCUGCUCAGCUAUGCGGUCAGCCAGGAGGCAAAGUAGGGCCACUGUGACAUCGCCGGAGGAACACAGCUUCUUAUCUGGAACAUGGCACAGAUUCAAGAAGGACAGCAUAACUUGUCCUUCUUCCUCAUGCCCCAUCAGGAGCAGCAGAAUGAAUUUAGCCCUGAACUGUGAUAGGAAUUCAUUUCGCAAGUCAAAAAUGUCUGCCAGCAUUUUCCUAUAAUAAAUCAAGGAGCUCAGGGAGUUAAACAGUAACUUCCAUUCUCUAAUAAAACCCACACUGUGAGGCUCAACAGCAACCCAAAACAAAACGACACAAAGUUAUUAACAGCUCUUUUUAAUAAAAAGAGUCUUUAUCCAACAUCACCCUCAGGGUCAGAAAUCCUGCACAAAACUCCUUUCUUCUAAUGAGAGCAAAUGUGCUUGUAGAUUUAGGUUAAAACAUUAAAAUAAAAGCUAUGCAUGUUCAAAAUUAACCACAAAGUUUAAAAACAGUCAUUUGGAUGACAUUAAUUUAUAGUAAAGUAUGUAUAAAAUUGUGUGUGCGCGUGUGUGCGCAGGCGUUGAUGGGUGUAUCAAUCCUUUCCCAGAAUAUGCAGAGUCCACCCAUCAUAAGGGAGAGAAAAUUGGAUGAGAUGACAAUAUUUUAGGCUGUGCUUACAACUCUACCACUUUUUCAACAUAUGGCCUUGGCAGUAUAGAAAAAGUGGAGAUUUGGUGCUAGUCUCUAAGUCAAAAUGUGGC
rnacentral:lncRNA from 1 species